GUGGGGGAUAUUGCACAAUGGAGGAAACUCUGAUGCAGCGACGCCGCGUGAGUGAAGAAGUAUUUCGGUAUGUAAAGCUCUAUCAGCAGGGAAGAUAAUGACAGUACCUGACUAAGAAGCCCCGGCUAACUACGUGCCAGCAGCCGCGGUAAUACGUAGGGGGCAAGCGUUAUCCGGAUUUACUGGGUGUAAAGGGAGCGUAGACGGAAUGACAAGUCUGAAGUGAAAUCCUGCGGCUUAACUGCAGAAUUGCUUUGGAAACUGUCAAUCUGGAGUGUUGGAGAGGUAAGCGGAAUUCCUGGUGUAGCGGUGAAAUGCGUAGAUAUCAGGAAGAACACCGGAGGCGAAGGCGGCUUACUGGACAAUAACUGACGUUGAGGCUCGAAAGCGUGGGAAGCAAACAGGAUUAGAAACCCCGGUAGUCC
rnacentral:rRNA from 1 species